rnacentral:tRNA from 1 species
AGUGGGGUGGCUGAAGGGAUGUUAGGUGAUAGACUGUAAAUCUAUUUAUGAGUCAUUUGGGACUCCCUCACUA